GUCCACACCGUAAACGAUGAUUACUAGGUGUUGGAGGAUUGACCCCUUCAGUGCCGCAGUUAACACAAUAAGUAAUCCACCUGGGGAGUACGACCGCAAGGUUGAAACUCAAAGGAAUUGACGGGGCCCGCACAAGCAGUGGAGUAUGUGGUUUAAUUCGACGCAACGCGAAGAACCUUACCAAGUCUUGACAUCCUGCGACGCGCAUAGAAAUAUGUUUUUCCUUCGGGACGCAGAGACAGGUGGUGCAUUGUUGUCGU
rnacentral:rRNA from 1 species